AUGUCACACAGAUGAUAAAGAGCAAGGAUAGACCUCUUCAUUUCAUGUUUGAGGCAAUUCUCUAAGACAGCUGAUUUCUCCAGAGCUGGUAGGUAAGUAUCUACCUCCCAGAAUGCAAUGUGUCCAGAGAUUAUAAUAAGUGAAAUAUUGGAUUGCCAAUAUUCUUUUCUCUUGUCCUUCUACGCUUGGAUUCUUUUUUUAAGUUUAUUCCCCACUGUAGGAGACAGACUUGCUCACGUGAUAGAUCCGGCCAUGAUAUUGUCCCUAAGAGAACGAGAUGCUCUUUGCAGAAGACAUAGAAGAUUCCUGAAACUGGGAAAGGGGCCUAGAAACCUGGAGAAGAGUGAAGAAGGCAUUUUCCCUCCCCUGCUUAGGCAUCUGCCACCAUAUUCAAUACUUUCUCCAGGGUUCUCAGGUAUCAUCUUUCAGUUUAGUUGGAUGGAACAUUAGUCUGGAAAUUUUACUUUCAAUUGAACUCGCUCGUUGAACUGCCUCCAUCUUCAAAGGAUCCCAUUAGGGUAAUUAUAGCUAUGGCUACAAAGCAUGAUUUGCACUCAAUUUCAGCUUUAGGUAAUUCAGUUAAGAUGUUUUAUGGUUUCACUAUUUGGAGGUGUAUAAACCCAUCACUUUCAUACACUUCCCAUGAGUUGUUUCAGAAUCCCAAGUCAAAGUAAGAGUUCUCUUGGUGUUUCAAGUAAAAUACCCUCUGAGCCAUCUCUGCCCUGGGAUCACUUUCUUCGUUUUCUUACCUCUAUCUUCUUUAACUCUUAAGCAGCUACUUAGGUAGCCUAGUUCAUGCUCUCUUUCCCCAAAAGUUUAGACCUCAGCUUGUGGACCAGGACUGUAUUGUUUCACAUCACAUGCCUCCCUCAGAGUAGGUGUUUGCAUGAUGAAUGGAUAGAUGGGUGAAUGAAUCCUCAAAGUAUGACUUGUAUUUUUUCCUUUUUAAAAAGCCAGUAUUUUAUUAUAUCAAUACUGAAUGAUUGUGUUCCAUUGAGAGUAAGAAACCCAGAAUUUUUCCAAGAAGGUGGAGAUGCUUUUAAUGUAUCUUUGCUGAUUGUUGCCCCAUCCUCAUCUCUGCAUGAGGAAUAAUUGUGUCAUCCUUUUGGAGCACAUUUUCCUCCGGCCUUUCAUUUGUAUUUAUGUAUACAUCCACACAGAGAACCGCCGACUUGUGAGCAGAUUGCCUUGCUGUAUGUUUUCCACAAAGCAGUCUGCCGAGCCUGCUGACAUAUAGAAGUCCCCUUUCCCCCUUUCUUUAGCUAAUACAAACUAUUAUCAUGCUAACUGGAUUUGCCACCUCUCAUCUGAACCAAAUGAAAUUGUGUGUGGUAUACAUGUAUAUGUGUUUGGUGUAUGGAGACACCAGAUGCUAAUCACGGAUGCUAUUUCUCAAGCACUGUUGAUCUUAUUGUUUUUGUGACAGGUUUCCCAUUGGCUUGGAAUUUGUCAAUUAGUUUUGCUGGCUGGACAGAAAGCCACACGGAUCCUCUU
rnacentral:lncRNA from 1 species